rnacentral:sRNA from 1 species
GUUUGGCGAAGAAAAUUCGAACUAUGGGCCUUUUUGCUCCAGGAUGACCCCCCUGAGGACCAUCAUGGUUUGCAGGAAACCACUUGCUUAAAAUCGGGGUACGACGGGAAUUUAAUGUUCGCCAUACAUUCUUCUGGUUCCCGUCCGUCCCCUGGAGGUCCCCAACCUGCCCAUCUUCCUCCCCUAGAGGGGCAAGUCCGGGGCCCGAGGGGGGGAGGGAGGAAUUGAAGUGGAUUAAAUAUAUCGCCAGGAGAUGUCAUCCAUGAUAAUUGUUACUUGAACUGCGUGCUCAUUAGUGUGUAAUAAUCCAUUAUCUGUGUUUGUCAAAGACACAUUCAGGGGAUCCAGGCGGGGUGUGAAAACACAUGUAGAACAUGCAAUGUUCUUGGGAGGUUUUACCACUGCACGAAAAACGACCAAUCCUUAAGGUGGGAACCCCCAUCUUAUGAUAUAUUUGCAUAUCUCACAGACGGUACACACUGAACUUCCCAACACCGAACAACUUUCUCAACUGCGGGUUUCGGCAUCAGGAUGAAUUUUUCCCAAUCGCGAGUGGUGUUUAUUUCACCACGAGAGAGAGGGAACUCAUCAGCUCAGACAC